UACGGGGGGGGCAAGCGUUGUUCGGAAUUACUGGGCGUAAAGGGCUCGCAGGCGGCCGACUAAGUCAGACGUGAAAUCCCUUGGCUUAACCAAGGAAUGGCGUCUGAUACUGGACGGCUUGAAUUCGGGAGAGGGAUGUGGAAUUCCAGGUGUAGCGGUGAAAUGCGUAGAUAUCUGGAGGAACACCGGUGGCGAAGGCGGCCUGCUGGGCUCUGGCUGACACUGAGGCGCGACAGCGUGGGGAGCAAACAGG
rnacentral:rRNA from 1 species